rnacentral:rRNA from 1 species
AAAGGAAUAGACGGGGGCCCGCACAAGCGGUGGAGCAUGUGGUUUAAUUCGAAGCAACGCGAAGAACCUUACCAGGGCUUGACAUCCCGCUGAUCGGUGUAGAGAUACACCUUCCCUUUUGGGCAGCGGUGACAGGUGGUGCAUGGUUGUCGUCAGCUCGUGUCGUGAGAUGUUGGGUUCAGUCCCGCAACGAGCGCAACCCUUAUCGUCAGUUGCCAGCACUUGGGGUGGGCACUCUGGCGAGACAGCCGGUGAAAGCCGGAGGAAGGUGGGGAUGACGUCAAAUCAUCAUGCCCCUUAUGUCCUGGGCUACACACGUGCUACAAUGGCCGGUACAACGGGCAGCGAACCCGCGAGGGGGAGCCAAUCCCAGAAAACCGGUCUCAGUUCGGAUCGCAGGCUGCAACUCGCCUGCGUGAAGCUGGAAUCGCUAGUAAUCGCGGAUCAGCAUGCCGCGGUGAAUCCGUUCCCGGGCCUUGUACACACCGCCCGU